rnacentral:rRNA from 1 species
GAUGAACGCUAGCGGCAGGCCUAACACAUGCAAGUCGAGGGGUAGAACACUUCGGUGUUUGAGACCGGCGCACGGGUGCGUAACGCGUAUGCAAUCUACCUUGUACAGGGGAAUAGCCCAGAGAAAUUUGGAUUAAUGCCCCAUAGUAUAUAACCUUCGCAUGUUGGUUAUAUUAAAGUUCCAACGGUACAAGAUGAGCAUGCGUCCCAUUAGUUAGUUGGUAAGGUAACGGCUUACCAAGACGAUGAUGGGUAGGGGUCCUGAGAGGGAGAUCCCCCACACUGGUACUGAGACACGGACCAGACUCCUACGGGAGGCAGCAGUGAGGAAUAUUGGUCAAUGGUCGCAAGACUGAACCAGCCAUGCCGCGUGCAGGAAGACGGUCCUAUGGAUUGUAAACUGCUUUUAUACAGGAAGAAACCCUCCCACGUGUGGGAGCUUGACGGUACUGUAGGAAUAAGGAUCGGCUAACUCCGUGCCAGCAGCCGCGGUAAU